UUCCUUUAAAUUAGACAGACUUGAAAUAAAAUAAAAUAAAAAAGUUUGAAAGUAAAAAUUAGAACUUUUUAUAACAAAGAUACUCCCCAAUUUGACUAUUCCUCUCAUAGCUUCUAAGUCACUUCUCUUCUUUGCAGGUUCCUCAUGUUACUCGUACUGAUUAUCAACUGAUUGAUAUUUCUGAAGAUGGUUUUGUGAGUCUUUUGACUGAGAAUGGUAACACCAAGGAUGACUUGAAGCUUCCCACCGAUGAAAGUCUGCUCAGAUAGAUUAAAGAUGGGUUUGCUAAAG